rnacentral:lncRNA from 1 species
UGGACUUGAACUUGAUUUGAAUGCAAGGGCUUGAGUAGCUUGAUCUUGAAUCUUCGUCUUUGGACUUGAAUUUGAAUGUUAAUUCGUCAUAAACACUUGGAUGGUUGCCACGAUUGAUGAAUAUGAACAAGUAACUUGAUCUUGAACAAAAUUUCCUUCUCUCUUGAUCUUGAACUUGAUCUUGAGCUUGAUUAUUUUAAAUUUAUAACUUGCAGAGAAAUUAUAGUUUUUGAUCCACGAGCUCUCUUCUUGCUUUUUGUUUCUC